rnacentral:snRNA from 1 species
AACCUUGCGCAGUGGCAAUAUCGUAACCAAUGAAGGUCUCCUGAGGUGCGAUUAUUGCUAGUUGAAAACUUUCACCAAUAUUAUUAAUUAUCCUUUUAACUAACAAUUUAUACAGUUCAGUAUAAAUUUGGCAUUUUUCAGAUGAAG